AUGUCCCCACUGGAUGCAACAAAUGCCUCGUUUGUAAUGGGUUUUAUUGGUUUUGUCUCGUCGUGCCGGGAGACAGCAUCACACUUAGGGUAAGAGGCAUUUGU